rnacentral:rRNA from 1 species
AUUGAACGCUGGCGGCAUGCUUUACACAUGCAAGUCGAACGGUAACGGGCCUUCGGGUGCCGACGAGUGGCGAACGGGUGAGUAAUAUAUCGGAACGUACCCAAGAGUGGUGGACAACCAGUCGAAAGAUUGGCUAAUACCGCAUACGAUCCAAGGAUGAAAGUGGGGGACCUUCGGGCCUCAUGCUCCUGGAGCGGCCGAUAUCUGAUUAGCUAGUUGGUGGGGUAAAGGCCUACCAAGGCAACGAUCAGUAGCUGGUCUGAGAGGACGAUCAGCCACACUGAACUGAGACACGGUCCAGACUCCUACGGGAGGCAGCAGUGGGGAAUUUUGGACAAUGGGGGCAACCCUGAUCCAGCAAUGCCGCGUGAGUGAAGAAGGCCUUCGGGUUGUAAAGCUCUUUUGUCAGGGAAGAAAUAGACUGGGCUAAUAUCCUGGUUUGAUGACGGUACCUGAAGAAUAAGCACCGGCUAACUACGUGCCAGCAGCCGCGGUAACAC